GGGAUCCUGCAGGGGAGCAGAGGUGGCUCAGGCCCCACGAGCAGCCCUGCGGGAGCCUGCCUGAGGGACGUAACAGCUCACGGAGAAGGCAGCCCCGUGGGCCAGAAAAGGCACCAAACGACCAGUGAAGGACCAGGAGCCUGAGACCCCAGCCCCAAACUGCUGUGCUCCACAAGGGGCCACCAGGCACCCUGAAUUAGGCAAGGGCCAGACUCCCCAAGAGUCCUCACGGUCGUCGAAAUGGGGAAAGGCUGAGGAUCCGCCACAGCCGUGGAGACGGGAGCCCCGACCUCUACGUGGUCUGAGUCUGGGACCAGCCCUGGGGGCAAGGGGCGUCUGUGCAGGGCAGUGAUGUGCAGAUGCCAACGAGUGGGGGUGCCCACUCCGGGUCAGGGAGCGCUCAGAGCAGGCCUCGGGCAUCAGGUCUGAGCAGGGAGGGGACCUGCCAGUGGGACCCUCGGGACUCUGUCCUGUCUUGGCAGCCUUCCUGUGAACCUCAGACUCUUCCAAGACAAAAGGGCUGGUUUACAAAGGCAGGAAUCCUGGCAGUGGGCUGCCACCCAUCCCCAGACAUGCCCUGUGCCUGAGGGCCCCCAAGACCCGGCCUCCUACCCUUUUGAAACAGUCUGGACCCCUGGGCUGGGCCAAGCCGACGAGGCAUAGAGCAGCCGGCGCUCGCCUGGGCCAGCCUCUGGGGUAGUCGUGCUCAGACGGCAGCAGACUGGACGGGCAUGCCUGCGGCUGCUCCCCACCCCCCAAAGAGUGGAGACUGCCCUGGUCCUCUGGACUGUGGCCGGAGUGCCGCUGUGCCCCUGGUGGCACGAGAGGAACACAUACCCUUUCCGGUCGAGGGCCUCCACGUCCUCCACCUGCAGGCCGAAGAUGAAGAGGUUCUCAGCCCCGGCCUCCUCUGCCAUCUCCACGUUGGCCCCGUCCAUGGUGCCGAUGGUGAGGGCCCCAUUGAGCAUGAACUUCAUGUUGCCUGUGCCCGAGGCCUCAGUGCCAGCGGUGGAGAUCUGCUGCGACAGGUCUGCGGCGGGGAUCACUGCCGAGGAGUUGAGGCACGUCAGCCACGGCCCCCCACGCUGGGCACCCCCCAGUGGUACGGCACCACCUCCGCCUGUGCUCCAAUGAACCACGGCCCUCGGUACCCUGGGGCCAAGACUGGGCACUGCCAGGGCUCCACUUCUUGGUCCAGGGCAGCAGGGGGCACAGGGUCCAACAUGGGCUGCCCCCAGGUGGCAAAUGGCCUUUGUUCUGGAAUCUUCCAUUGCCCAGAGAAGCCCUGAUCGUGGUCUGUUGGCAUAAUUCCCUUUCACCCCCAGAUCACUUGUGUCUUUAUCACCCCACAAGUCUCCUUAGGUCACUUCCAGAGGAAUCUGGCGUUAUAGAACCAGAGGACUAGAUUGGCUGGGCAACCUCCCACUCACAUGCGUGGGGUUUCUGCGUGCGGCGCCAGGCAUCACCGGCCAGGACGGUGGCCCAAGCACCGCAGUGCCAAGGCCCCUGGUGUGGGCUCCCCAGGCCUCCAGACACAGCGGCAUCAGUCCCACCCUGCCCAGCCCCCCCUGCUCCCACGUCCCCAGCUCAUCCACAGAGCCAAAGCUCCACCCCGCUGGCGGGCACUGGGUCAGCACUGAGCACAGCUCUUCGGCGAGGUCAAGCCCAGGUGCCAGGAUGGAGACACAGGCACCACCGGCCCCUAGGCAGCCUGAUGGCAGAGGGGCACACCACGGGGACCCCGACACUAGCUCGGGGGACCAGACUGGGACCUAAGGAUGCCUAGAAGCCAGCCAGCCCCAAUUAAUGGUGAGGAGUGGGGGAAUUCCAGGCAGCAAGGGCCAUAGGAUGAGUUAGAAGCUGCCGCAGACCACAUCCCAGCCCGAUUCACACACAGGCCAUGCAGGGCUCAAGGCAGAUUCCGGGUGGGCCAGGAGGGCCCAGGGGAGGUGGCAUGUUGGCUGCACAGCGCUGCGCGGGCAGAGCACACACAGCAGCAGCCUGACAGAACAGAGGCGCCGGAACCCCAGGCCCUGCCCACCCUCUGGCCAGCAAGGCCCUUCUUUCCAGGGUCUCUGGAAGCAGCCAGUUUGGAGAGGUCCCUGUGCUUGAGGCAGCCACGCCCCCAGGCAGCACCCCGUCUGGUGGUCUCCCGGCAACCCUGAAGUGGAGUGGCCCCAGACUGAGCUCCCAGCUGAGUGGGACCGGAGGGACGGACAGCAGAGGCCCUUGAGAGCACACAGGUGUGGGAGUGGAGCUUCCUCCUUGGGAGGAGGCUGACUCGGGGCACAGCCUGCCAGCAAGAGUGACCCCCAGGAGGCAGCGGUGAGGAAGUGGGAGGCCAGGGGCGUCUGAGGCUGGGAGUUCUCUGUGCUUGACCAGCAGAGCGCCUCCCUGAGGCCCCUCUGGCCGGGGAACCUGGUGUCAGGGCAGUUAAUCAGCCCCAGCCAAGGGGGGCGGGGGCAGGGCCUGUCUAGCGGCCCCCGCGGGCUACCUUUCUCGGCCAGCGACACCCGGUAGUUCUCCAGGAAGAUCACUUUGAGCCUGUCGCCCACAACUGGGUCGUGGUUGACGACGUCCCCGAUGGAUGUGACCAGCUUGAUAAUCAUCUUGGCCAUGUGGUAACCGGGGGCUGCCUGGAAAGGAGCGGGAGGGCCGAGCCGCACCUGGGUCCUGGGCACGCCUGGCAGGUGGCCCCACAGAGCCCACCCUUGCGGGGUGCAGCCCCUGGCUCUCCCUGGGCUCCCACCCUGCUCUCCACAGCGGCCACCUCACCCACAGGCAGCAAUAUGCCCGCCUCUGGCCUGUUUUCUGAUUCUAGUCAGUUUUUCAGAAAUGAAAAGAUGGAAGAAACAGGAUUUUAGAGCUGACCAGCAGCUCACAAGACAUAAGGGGAUGAGACACAUGUCAGGACACCCAGGGGGGGCACGCGGCCAGAAGCACCAGCCUGGAGGUGCGCGAGCCAGUUCUGUGACAAGCUGUGGGGAAAGGAGGGCAGUCCACACGAGGGAACUGAGGGGCAGCAGGCAGGCCCCUGCCAGCGUCCCGACCCGGCUAGAGGCCCUGGCAGCCUCACUGUGGAGAUGUGAUGGCAGUGCGGACGUUCAGAAGAGCCCACAUCUGCAGCAGUUUGGGAGGGAAACCACGAAAAUGUGAGACAUGAUCAAGGGCAAAGCAGUGUCACGUCUGUUGUUUGCUUUGAAAAGAUUCUGAAGUCUGGGGCAAGGCUGUCAAUGUCCUGUAAUUCCUCCUUUCUCCGACGCUUGAUAUUUUUAAUAAUUAACAUUUCAAUAAUUA